rnacentral:pre_miRNA from 1 species
CUUGUACUCCCUCUGUCUGGAAAUACUUGUCAUUGAAAUGGAUGUAUCUAGAUGUAUUUUAGUUAUAGACACAUCCAUUUUGAUGAUAAGUAAUUCUGGACGGAGGGAGUACUUG